AAUGCGAGCCGAGAACAGCUGCGCGCCCGCCUCGCGUUGCGAACCCCGAGCGAGAGACGCUUCAGAGACUGGAGGGACGGACCUGCAGGAGCCAGGGCUGCCCGCCGAGCUGCAGUUGCCGCCUCUGCCACUGUCGCGCCGUCGCUGUCUCUGUCAGCGCCCGUCUGAAGAGUGACAGCGCCGCAAAAGGGUGAGGGAGCACCGGAUCCCGCGCCUUUAUGAAACAGGUGCAUGCAUCGGUCUCCUGGUGAGUGGACUCAACUCGCAAGGUAGCCAUUCAUGAGCCCGAGGCUUUGAGAAAUGCUCGCUGUGCAAAGGGGAACUCUCACCAGAUUUUCUGAAGCCAUCCUAGAGAUACACUUUUCAGAUUGAUUCAGCAUUAUCAGCUUAUCCAACAAAAGUAUUAACACAUACAUUAACAACGUCGAAAGUAGCCUACUUUAAGAGAAAAUAUGCAGAAGAAGAAGAUUUACAUCAAGAUUACCAUGGGUAUUUUCCAAAACACCUGAUAUUGCCCGAGGACAGGACUUGCAUUCUCAAACUUUCUCUGGAGAAGCUCAGAUUUCUUGAAGACCCAGAAACCUACUUAAGAAGGUCUGUGUUAAUUAACAAUUUGCUGAGGAAGAUCCAUCUAGAGACGGAGAAAGAGAGCUAUGAAUACUUUAAAGAAGCUCCCUGUUAUAAGACUGCUUAUUCUGAUACAAGAAAACGGCUGAAGUUCAUGGUACAGGAAUGCUGUUCUCAGUCUCUCUAUUAUGAAGAGCUGCAUUCGUAUCAUAUUGUGCCUUAUGCUUCGGAGAAUGCCAUUUAUGGGAUGGGCUACACUAGCAGCCACUUGGAGCAAAAUUCUCAGUUGCUUAUUUAUAAAAUGAAUUAAAGUAACUGUUAAAGUCCAUU